UGCGUAGGCGGACUAAUAAGUCAGUGGUGAAAUCUUUCGGCUCAACCGAGAAACUGCCAUUGAUACUGUUAGUCUUGAGUUCGGUUGAGGUAGGCGGAAUGUGUAAUGUAGCGGUGAAAUGCUUAGAUAUUACACAGAACACCAAUUGCGUAGGCAGCCUACUAGACCGACACUGACGCUGAGGCACGAAAGCGUGGGGAGCGAACAGGAUUAGAUACCCUGGUAGUCC
rnacentral:rRNA from 1 species